rnacentral:rRNA from 1 species
AGGGUGAGUAACACGUAGGUAACCUGCCCAUGUGCCCGGGAUAACUUCUGGAAACGGAUGCUAAAACCGGAUAGGUAGCAGACAAGCAUUUGACUGCUAUUAAAGUGGCCUUGGCCAUGAACAUGGAUGGACCUGCGGUGCAUUAGCUAGUUGGUAAGGUGACGGCUUACCAAGGCAAUGAUGCAUAGCCGAGUUGAGAGACUGAUCGGCCACAUUGGGACUGAGACACGGCCCAAACUCCUACGGGAGGCAGCAGUAGGGAAUCUUCCACAAUGGACGAAAGUCUGAUGGAGCAACGCCGCGUGAGUGAAGAAGGGUUUCGGCUCGUAAAGCUCUGUUGGUAGUGAAGAAAGAUAGAGGUAGUAACUGGCCUUUAUUUGACGGUAAUUACUUAGAAAGUCACGGCUAACUACGUG